AGUUUGAUCCUGGCUCACAUAACGCUGGCGGCGUGCCUAACACAUGCAAGUCGAGCGAGAAAGCUCCUUCCGGAGUGAGUAAAGCGGCGGACGGGUGAGUAACGCGUGAGAAUUUACCCUUUAGUGAAGAAUACCCCCGAGAAAUCGGGGCUAAUACUGCAUACGUCCCUUCGGGGAGAAAGGUGGCCUCUUUGCUGCCGCUAAAGGAUAAGCUUGCGUACUAUCAGCUAGUUGGUAAGGUAAUGGCUUACCAAGGCUAUGACGGUUAGCCGGCCUGAGAGGGUGUACGGCCACAUUGGAACUUAGAUACGGUCCAGACUCCUACGGGAGGCAGCAGUGGGGAAUAUUGCGCAAUGGGCGAAAGCCCUGACGCAGCGACGCCGCGUGGAGGAUGAAGGUCUUAGGAUUGUAAACUUCUGUUAAGCGGGAAGAAAGAUCUGCCCUUAAUAGGGGCGGGUGAUGACGGUACCGCUAGAGAAAGCACCGGCUAACUUCGUGCCAGCAGCCGCGGUAAUACGAAGGGUGCAAGCGUUAUUCGGAAUUAUUGGGCGUAAAGGGUGUGUAGAUGGUAUGUUAAGUUCGCUGUUAAAUUCUCCGGCUUAACCGGAGGCCAGCGGCGAAUACUGGCGUGCUAGAGGAUGGAAGAGAGAAGUGGAAUUCUCGGAGUAGCGGUAAAAUGCGUAGAUCUCGAGAGGAACAUCAAUGGCGAAGGCAGCUUCUUGGUCCAUUCCUGACAUUGAAACACGAAAGCGUGGGGAGCAAACCGGAUUAGAUACCCUGGUAGUCCACGCUGUAAACGAUGAUCACUAGACGUUAACUUUGUUUUACAGGGUUAGUGUCGUAGCUAACGCGUUAAGUGAUCCGCCUGGGGACUACGAUCGCAAGAUUAAAACUCAAAGGGAAUUGACGGGGGUCCGCACAAGCGGUGGAACAUGUGGUUUAAUUCGACACUACGCGAGGAACCUUACCUAGGUUUGACAUGUAUCUGACAGCUGUAGAAAUACGGUCUUUUGGGCUUCGGUUCAGACAGAUACACAGGUGCUGCAUGGCUGUCGUCAGCUCGUGUCGUGAGAUGUUGGGUUAAGUCCUCUAACGAGCGCAACUCCUACUAUCAGUUGCUAUUCGCGAAAGUGAAGCACUCUGAUGGGACUGCCUAGGAAACUAGGAGGAAGGUGGGAAUGACGUCAAGUCAGCAUGGUCCUUAUGCCUAGGGCUACACACGUGUUACAAUGGCCAGUACAAAGGGCUGCGAACCUGCGAAGGGGAGCUAAUCUCAUAAAACUGGUCUAAGUUCGGAUUGGGGUCUGCAAUUCGACCCCAUGAAGUUGAAAUCGCUAGUAAUGGCGUAUCAGCAAGGACGCGGGGAAUAGGUUCUCGGGCCUGGUACACACUGCCCGUCACACCAGGAAAGCGGUCGGUACCGGAAAUUGCCUUAGCUAACCGAAAGGAGGCGGGCACCUAAGGUAUGGGGAGUGAUUGGGGGGAAGUGGUAACAAGGUAACC
rnacentral:rRNA from 1 species